UACAGAGGUCCCAAGCGUUACUGAGAAUCACUGGGUUUAAAGGGUGCGUAGGUGGUCCGUUAAGUCAGUUGUGAAAUCCCCGGGCUCAACUCGGGAGCUGCUUCUGAUACUGGCGGACUUGAGGCCAGUAGGGGUCACUAGAACUGACGGUGGAGCGGUGAAAUGCGUAGAUAUCGUCAGGAAUGCCGGUGGUGAAGACGGGUGACUGGGCUGGUUCUGACACUGAGGCACGAAAGCGUGGGGAGCGAACGGG
rnacentral:rRNA from 1 species